GCAUCUGAAACUUUGCCACUCCUUGCAGUACAGUGCUGGGUUGGAGAUACAGGAUGCAACAGGAAAGCAGAGGAAAUCCAGACAAGCUCCACAGUGGACCUUGUCUCUACGCCUUUGCAACAUUU